UGGGGAAUAUUGCACAAUGGAGGGAACUCUGAUGCAGCGACGCCGCGUGAACGAAGAAGGCUUUCGAGUCGUAAAGUUCUUUUAUAUGGGAAGAUAAUGACGGUACCAUAAGAAAAAGCCCCGGCUAACUACGUGCCAGCAGCCGCGGUAAUACGUAGGGGGCUAGCGUUGUCCGGAAUCACUGGGCGUAAAGGGUUCGCAGGCGGAAAUGCAAGUCAGGUGUAAAAGGCAGUAGCUUAACUACUGUAAGCAUUUGAAACUGCAUAUCUUGAGAGGAGUAGGGGUAAGUGGAAUUCCUAGUGUAGCGGUGAAAUGCGUAGAUAUUAAAAAGAAUACCGGUGGCGAAGGCGACUUUCUGAUCUGUAACUGACGCUGAUGUGCGAAAGCGUGGGGAUCAAACAGG
rnacentral:rRNA from 1 species